rnacentral:rRNA from 1 species
UGGGGAAUCUUCCGCAAUGGACGAAAGUCUGACGGAGCAACGCCGCGUGUGUGAAGAAGGCCUUCGGGUUGUAAAGCACUUUUGUCCGGAAAGAAAUCCUUGGCUCUAAUACAGUCGGGGGAUGACGGUACCGGAAGAAUAAGCACCGGCUAACUACGUGCCAGCAGCCGCGGUAAUACGUAGGGUGCAAGCGUUAAUCGGAAUUACUGGGCGUAAAGCGUGCGCAGGCGGUUUGCUAAGACCGAUGUGAAAUCCCCGGGCUCAACCUGGGAACUGCAUUGGUGACUGGCAGGCUAGAGUAUGGCAGAGGGGGGUAGAAUUCCACGUGUAGCAGUGAAAUGGCGUAGAGAUGUGGAGGAAUACCGAUGGCGAAGGCAGCCCCCUGGGCCAAUACUGACGCUCAUGCACGAAAGCGUGGGGAGCAAAACAGGAUUAGAUACCCCUGGUAGUCCACGCCCUAAACGAUGUCAACUAGUUGUUGGGGAUUCAUUUCCUUAGUAACGUAGCUAACGCGUGAAGUUGACCGCCUGGGGAGUACGGUCGCAA